GCCGGGGUGGCGGAACGGUAGACGCGGAGGACUUAAAAUCCUCUGGGCGAGAGCCCGUGUGGGUUCGACUCCCACCCCCGGCA
rnacentral:tRNA from 1 species